CAGUAGCCGCGGGAAUACGUAGGUCCCGAGCGUUGUCCGGAUUUAUUGGGCGUAAAGCGAGCGCAGGCGGUUAGAUAAGUCUGAAGUUAAAGGCUGUGGCUUAACCAUAGUACGCUUUGGAAACUGUUUAACUUGAGUACAGAAGGGGAGAGUGAAAUUCCAUGUGUAGCGGUGAAAUGCGUAGAUAUUAGGAAGAACACCAGUGGCGAAGGCGACUUUCUGGACGAAAACUGACGCUGAGGCUCGAAAGCGUGGGGAGCAAACAGGAUUAGAUACCCCAGUAGUCCCUGUCUCUUAUACA
rnacentral:rRNA from 1 species